rnacentral:rRNA from 1 species
GACGAACGCUGGCGGCGUGCCUAAUACAUGCAAGUAGAACGCUGAAGAGAGGAGCUUGCUCUUCUUGGAUGAGUUGCGAACGGGUGAGUAACGCGUAGGUAACCUGCCUUGUAGCGGGGGAUAACUAUUGGAAACGAUAGCUAAUACCGCAUAACAAUGGAUGACACAUGUCAUUUAUUUGAAAGGGGCAAUUGCUCCACUACAAGAUGGACCUGCGUUGUAUUAGCUAGUAGGUGAGGUAAUGGCUCACCUAGGCGACGAUACAUAGCCGACCUGAGAGGGUGAUCGGCCACACUGGGACUGAGACACGGCCCAGACUCCUACGGGAGGCAGCAGUAGGGAAUCUUCGGCAAUGGGGGCAACCCUGACCGAGCAACGCCGGGUGAGUGAAGAAGGUUUUCGGAUCGUAAAGCUCGGUUGUAAGUCAAGAACGGGUGUGAGAGUGGAAAGUUCACACUGUGACGGUAGCUGACCAGAAAGGGACGGCUAACUACGUG